AAAAAACUAUGCAGUACCUGUCAGUUUGUUCAUAAAUUAGCCUGUCCUUUCACUUUAAUAUGUAUUUUAAUAU